UUAAAUAUGCGGAGGUACGCGUAAUGUUUUAUCAGACGAGAAUCCGCAUGAAAAGAUAUAUGCGGCAUCCCUUGUGGGUUCGUAUGCGGAAUAGCCUCUGAAAGUAAAAUAGCUUACAAUUAAACUUUCGCGGCAUGUAGUUGAGGUCCAUGCCGAGAAACAGAGACUGAGGUCGUGAGGAGGUAAUUGGUUGGUGAUGUGAUCUGUGUCCAUGCGUACGGCCAGCAAUGCGGACGUGCAUGGCCGCUCCGCCUCCAAUCUAAUCUUCCGGUAGGCGGCCGCCGGAUCUCCGGCGAACUCUUCUGUCCUCGCCGCUUGCCUCCUCCCUCGAGAGAGGAAGACCAUUGCUUGGGGUGGUGUUCAAUGAGCACGACGACGGAGCUGUGGCCAUAAGUGGCGGGGCUUGUAAAGUGCAUAGCGUCUGUUCGAUGAAAUGCUCGAAAGAGAUGUCGAUGGGUCUGGGGCCAAAUGCCACAACACACACGCUAUCGAGUCAAUGGUGGUGCUGCCAUGGCAUACCCCACGGACGACUGACGGUGCUCUAAUGCGGUCCAUGUUGCUGUAUCGUUUGUAACCGUGUUCAUGUGACUGGUUAUCGUGCGAUGGACGCAAUAUCCGUCGAGCCGGCAAGGGUUAGGCAAGAUAUAUGAUUCACACGAGAAUGUUAGCUGGAUAGCAUUGCUCUUGCCUCCUGUUCACCAUCCCUACCAGCAAACCUGCAUGACCAACUUUACCCAAACCCAAAUGACACCAUCAGCCAAGGGCCAGAAUGCAGAUCUUACCAGUGCAUAUCAUAUUGGGUGUUCUGAUGAAGUCUAAUGCAGCUUGCAUCGUUUAUGUCAACUUGCUAUCUGAACUCCACGGCUGACCACAUUUGUACUUCUGGAGAACAAUAUAUUUACUAACCUAAUGGUGCUAUUGCCGAGGGAAUAGUUGGAGAUUUCUUCUGUGGAAGAUUUAAAAGUGCAUCUUCUCGGUAAGAGUCUUAACUGAGAUAUGUGCAUUCGAAACUUUCUUCUGAUAGUAGUCUAAAACUCAUCAACAUUCAUCAAGUUAAUUAAAACUGGUUAACUGUAACUACUACUGUAAGUGUCAUUUUUGACGGUUGAAAUUGUGGUUAGUUGCUGUAUAUAUCAUCCUUCGAUGGUGAACAGAUGAUCGAGGAAACAUUUUAUAGUUCUAUGGUGAUUUAGUAAGUUGUGGUUCUGUAACAUUUGCCCCUUUGGGUUGAAGUAGGUUUAUCAUUAUCCAAAGGCUUACAAAUUGAUAGUGGAUCAUGCAGAGUUUUUUUUUUUAAUUUACAGACCCUGGUGGCCUUUGUGCAUGGGCUAAUAAUUUGUUUCAAGGAUACUCUGAAUUCACUUCAUUUGCUGAUGG